CGGCGGCUGGGCGGCCGGCCUCGACGGGGUGCUCCAGCCGCUCCGCGAGGAACUGGCGCGGUUCUGCCUGCGGCCGCCCC
rnacentral:tRNA from 1 species